AGGAGCUGCAAGUGUCGCAACCCUCGGCGGAACGCGUCGACAACCGGCAACAGGACCACCGUUUUCCACUCCAAAGCCCGGCGUGGUAACGGCCGCUCAGACCUGGAUUCUCGCUGCACACUGAAACAAAAGAGAAGGAUCCAGAAUAAUCGAUACGGCCACGAGGGGUGGUUUUUUUGAAAAUU